rnacentral:tRNA from 1 species
AGGUUUUAUAGUCAUUAUAUGAUAUUAAAUUGCAAAUUUAAAGGAGUUAAGAAAUACUAAGGCCU